GAUGAACGCUAGCUACAGGCUUAACACAUGCAAGUCGAGGGGCAGCGGGAUUGAAGCUUGCUUCAAUUGCCGGCGACCGGCGCACGGGUGAGUAACGCGUAUCCAACCUUCCGUACACUCAGGGAUAGCCUUUCGAAAGAAAGAUUAAUACCUGAUGGUAUGAUGAGAUUGCAUGAUAUCAUCAUUAAAGAUUUAUCGGUGUACGAUGGGGAUGCGUUCCAUUAGGUAGUAGGCGGGGUAACGGCCCACCUAGCCAACGAUGGAUAGGGGUUCUGAGAGGAAGGUCCCCCACAUUGGAACUGAGACACGGUCCAAACUCCUACGGGAGGCAGCAGUGAGGAAUAUUGGUCAAUGGACGAGAGUCUGAACCAGCCAAGUAGCGUGAAGGAUGAAGGUCCUACGGAUUGUAAACUUCUUUUAUAAGGGAAUAAACCCUCCCACGUGUGGGAGCUUGUAUGUACCUUAUGAAUAAGCAGCGGCUAACUCCGUG
rnacentral:rRNA from 1 species